GGUGGCUCAGUGGUAGAGCACUUGCCUUGCAUGCAAGAAGCCCUGGGUUCAAUUCCUCAGCACCA
rnacentral:tRNA from 1 species